rnacentral:misc_RNA from 1 species
UACAGAGGUGGCAAGCGUUGUUCGGAAUCAUUGGGCGUAAAGGGUCCGUAGGCGGCAUGGAAAGUCGGAUGUGAAAUCCUACAGCUUAACUGUAGAACUGCAUUCGAAACUUCCAAGCUAGAGUGUGAGAGGGGUGAAGGGAAUUCCCGGUGUAAGGGUGAAAUCUGCAGAGAUCGGGAGGAACACCAGUCGCGAAGGCGCUUCACUGGCUCACUACUGACGCUCAGGGACGAAAGCUAGGGUAGCCAACGGG